CAGCAGCCGCGGGAAUACGGAGGGGGCAAGCGUUAUCCGGAAUUAUUGGGCGUAAAGGGUACGUAGGUGGCCCUUUAAGCGUAGGGUAUAAGGCAAUGGCUCAACCAUUGUUCGCCCUAUGAACUGGAAGGCUUGAGUGCAGGAGAGGAAAGCGGAAUUCCUAGUGUAGCGGUGGAAUGCAUAGAUAUUAGGAGGAACAUCAGCGGCGAAGGCGGCUUUCUGGACUAAAACUGACGCUGAGGCACGAAAGUGUGGGUAGCAAACAGGAUUAGAUACCCCAGUAGUCCCUGUCUCUUAUACA
rnacentral:rRNA from 1 species